AUGCAUGUCUAAGUACACACUGUGGCACAGUGAAACCGCGAAUGGCUCAUUAAAUCAGUUAUGGUUUAUUAGAUCGUGCGUUCCAUGUGGAUAACUGUGGUAAUUCUAGAGCUAAUACAUGCAACAGGCCCUGACUUUUCGGAAGGGCGCUUUUAUUAGAUCAAAAUCAAUCAGGCUACGGCCUGUUAUUGUGAUGACUCUGGAUAACUUAGUGCCGACCGCAUGGCCUUGCGCCGGCGGCGUAUCUUUCAAAUGUCUGCCCUAUCAACUUUCGAUGGUACGUGAUAUGCCUACCAUGGUUGUAACGGGUAACGGAGAAUCAGGGUUCGAUUCCGGAGAGGGAGCCUGAGAAACGGCUACCACAUCCAAGGAAGGCAGCAGGCGCGCAAAUUACCCACUCCCGGCACGGGGAGGUAGUGACGAAAAAUAACAAUGCUGGGCUUCAAGUCCGGUAAUUGGAAUGAGUACACUUUAAAUCCUUUAACGAGGAUCUAGUGGAGGGCAAGUCUGGUGCCAGCAGCCGCGGUAAUUCCAGCUCCACGAGCAUGUACGUAAGUUGUUGCAGUUAAAAAGCUCGUAGUUGGAUCUCAGUCCGAGGUCGGUGGUCUUCUCGAUACGGGAUAGCACUGCCGUGCCCGGUCUUCACCUGGUCCAACUUCGCAGUGCCCUUGACUGGGUGCUGUGGAAUGCCAGAAAUUUUACUCUGAAAAAAUUAGAGUGCUCAAAGCAAGCCGAUUGUGCUUGAAUACUGUUGCAUGGAAUAAUGGAAUAGGACCUCGGUUCUAUUUUGUUGGUUUUCGGAGUCGAGGUAAUGAUUAAGAGGGACAGACGGGGGCAUUCGUAUUGCGCCGUUAGAGGUGAAAUUCUUGGAUCGGCGCAAGACGAACAACUGCGAAAGCAUUUGCCAAGAAUGUUUUCAUUAAUCAAGAACGAAAGUCAGAGGUUCGAAGACGAUCAGAUACCGUCGUAGUUCUGACCAUAAACGAUGCCAACUGGCGAUCCGCCGCAGUCUGGCUUGAAGGACUCGGUGGGCAGCCUCCGGGAAACCUAAGUCUAUGGGUUCCGGGGGAAGUAUGGUUGCAAAGCUGAAACUUAAAGGAAUUGACGGAAGGGCACCACCAGGAGUGGAGCCUGCGGCUUAAUUUGACUCAACACGGGAAAACUCACCCGGCCAGGACACCGUUAGGAUUGACAGACUGAAAGCUCUUUCUUGAUUCGGUGGGUGGUGGUGCAUGGCCGUUCUUAGUUGGUGGAGUGAUUUGUCUGGUUAAUUCCGAUAACGAACGAGACUCUAGCCUGCUAAAUAGACGGACGAUCCAUAUCGGGUCGAUCCGAUCAUAGCUUCUUAGAGGGACAAGUGGCGUUUUUAGCCACGCGAAAUUGAGCAAUAACAGGUCUGUGAUGCCCUUAGAUGUCCGGGGCCGCACGCGCGCUACAAUGAGAGACGCAGCGUGUCCUUAUCGCCUGACCCGAAAGGGUUGGGUAAUCAUUUAAAUUUCUCUCGUAAUAGGGAUUGAGCAUUGUAAUUAUUGCUCAUGAACGAGGAAUUCCUAGUAAGCGCGAGUCAUAAGCUUGCGCUGACUACGUCCCUGCCCUUUGUACACACCGCCCGUCGCUACUACCGAUUGAAUGGUUUAGCGAGAACCUUGGAUUGGGUCGAUGCCGUGCGCAAGCAUGAUGUUAGCCUGAAAAGAAGUUCAAGCUUGAUCAUUUA
rnacentral:rRNA from 1 species